GCUGCCUAUACAUGGGCUUUCC
rnacentral:miRNA from 1 species